rnacentral:misc_RNA from 1 species
AAAGUCGUAACAAGGUUUCCGUAGGUGAACCUGCGGAAGGAUCAUUAUUGAAUUUCAAAGGUUGUGCUGGUUCUUACAAGUGCACGCCUUUUUCAAUUUCUAUACACCUGUGCACCUUUGUAGGUUUGGGAGAAAUCUCGAGCCUAUGUAUUAUAUACCCCAUCAUUUGUCUUUGAAUGUUAAUUGUCUUUUGACAAAUAAAUUAUAUACAACUUUAAGCAACGGAUCUCUUGGCUCUC